rnacentral:ncRNA from 2 species
UAUUGGCUUUAGGGGUGUUCCGAGCGAACUGAGAUUAAACCCUUUGAACCUGAUUCGGGUAAUACCGACGAAGGGAAAAGCGAAGAAAUUCUU